CCUCAUAGGCCAGUUGGGGGCAUAUGAAGUGUACAUGACAAUCAAUUGCCCCUGCAGUUACAAUCAUUCUUUCACCCGCAAUAACCUCAGUGUUAACCUAAUUGUAGAUAAAACCUUAUUGUUAACCUACUAAUUAAAAGAAAAAGCAGAAAAAACAGGUGAAAAUAUGUGCGGUCAACAGGACAUGAACAAUUAUGCCAGCGCUUUCAUCUUGAGAUUGAACCUACCCCAAUGGUCAUGUCAGCAUGGACAUCAUUCAUGAUAUCUGGAUUUCCUGCUUUUCCAAUCGCAGCAAUCAGACCAUCUCUGAUACCAAUAUCUGCCUUGUAAAUUCCAGUAUAGUCAAUGAUCAUAGCAUUUGUUAUAACAGUAUCAAGAGAAUCAACUGGCCGAUGCCCACAUGACUGGCCCAUGCCAUCCCUUAUA
rnacentral:sRNA from 1 species